AAAUUAAACAACUCCCAUGUGGAAGGAAAUGGAAACUUUUGCGGAAGGGGAAAGGACUACUUAUUCGUAAGCUGCCUUUUGUUCGUCACGUUGGCGACGCGAAAGUGCCAAAGUUUUUCAUUGUAAUAAAUAUUUUAAUUUUGAACUUGAGCAAUUAACCCGGGAACGCAUGUGGAAAGGCAAGGCAAGGAAUGGAAAGUUGCGGCAAGGAAAGGGAGAUGCCACCUCCAUUGUCCUGGCAAUUGUGAUAGGGAUACCACCACCACCACCCACUCAAGCCCUUUUUUCCUUCGCUGGGCGUAACGCUCUUCACGAACAUUAUGAACUUAAGACCCCCUUGGCAAACAACAAUAACAAUAAGAGGCUGGGACACAUGCCAAAGUGGUUAAGUCGGCGGAGAAAUGUUGGCAAAACUUUUCGGGGCGACGCAUUUAAAUGAUUUUGCAUAAUUCAAAUGGUGGCAAACUUUUCGCAUCCAAUGAGGACACACCAAAAAAAAAAAAGCCCGAGAAACAAACAGCAGCAGCAGCAACAAACAAACAAAAAAUAAUAACGAAAGCGUUACGAAACUUGGCCCCGAACUUGCAAGCCAGGUGAACAUUAAGGGGUGGUUGUCCCCCCAACCACCGGGGGAUGCCGUCAACUGGAAAUGUACACAAAGGGCUUAAUUAUAAAAGUCAACACACGGCACGGCACGGCGCAAAGCGUUUCACAAAGAAGCUCGGGGGUUAGGCACUCUCUAUAUCAUCAUCAUCAUCAUCAUCAUCCGCACCCGAUGCACUCGCACCCAUUCACCGCGCAUACACAAAAACCCAAAAUCCAAAAAAGCAAGAGCUGAAUCUGAAUUUGAAUCCGAAUCUGAUUCUGUGAGGUGAGUUGAGUGGAAGAAAAAAAACAAGAAAUUCGUAUGUAAUUAAAAUGAAAUCCCCUUUUUACGACUGAUGUGGAUGGCAAAGAUUUUUACGGUUAUUUGUUUGGAAAAAAUACAAAAAUAAAGAAAAACAGGAGGCCAGCAAAAGGCAGACCUGCAGUAAUUCAAACAGCGAGCAAACCGGAAAAUGUGAUAAGUUUUUUCCUCUACAGCGCUUUCCAUAACUCGAGCUGGGAGCAGCGUACAUAAAUUUCGAGUGUUGCCCGUGGCCCAAUGGCUGAUGGCUGAUGUCUGAUGGCUUUUGGCCGACUGGGGAGCGGAAAAACGUUGGCGGAUGGCGGAUGGAUGGAAAUUUGAUACGAUUCGGUUGCCAGCAGAGGCGAAAAGUAACACACAGCACAGUCUGCGGUUUGGGGCCAAGUCAGAAUUGUGGUUAUUAAUAAAGAAACGAUCGCAAAGCA